UACGUAGGUGGCAAGCGUUGUCCGGAAUUAUUGGGCGUAAAGCGCGCGCAGGCGGUCCUUUAAGUCUGAUGUGAAAGCCCACGGCUCAACCGUGGAGGGUCAUUGGAAACUGGGGGGACUUGAGUGCAGGAGAGAAGAGUGGAAUUCCACGUGUAGCGGUGAAAUGCGUAGAGAUGUGGAGGAACACCGUGGGCGAAGGGCGACUCUUUGGCCUGUAACUGACGUGAGGCGCGAAAAGCGUGGGGGAGCAAAACAGGAU
rnacentral:rRNA from 1 species